rnacentral:rRNA from 1 species
AGCGUAUAUUAAAGUUGUUGCAGUUAAAAAGCUCGUAGUUGAAUUUCGGGGUCAGUAGGUUGGUCAUGCCACUGGUAUGUACUGGUCUCACUGAUUCCUCCUUCCUGAUGAACUGUAAUGCCAUUAAUUUGGUGUCGCAGGGAAUCUGGACUGUUACUUUAAAAAAAUUAGAGUGUUUAAAGCAGGCUAACGCCUGAAUACAUUAGCAUGGAAUAAUGAAAUAGGACGUUCGAUCCUAUUUUGUUGGUUUCUAGGAUUGACGUAAUGAUUAAUAGGGAUAGUUGGGGGCAUUAGUAUUCAAUUGUCAGAGGUGAAAUUCUUGGAUUUAUUGAAGACUAACUACUGCGAAAGCAUUUGCCAAGGAUGUUUUCAUUAAUCAAGAACGAAAGUUAGGGGAUCGAAGACGAUCAGAUACCGUCGUAGUCUUAACCAUAAACUAUGCCGACUAGGGAUCGGAUGAUGUUAAUUUUUUAAUGACUCAUUC